rnacentral:lncRNA from 1 species
AUCCAUACAGUUAUACACAAGUUAUUGUCCUGAAACUAGAAAAAUGCUUGUUUUUGGCCCCUUUUUGGCCCUUAAUUCCUAGACUCUUUGUCCCAUAACCCUUAAAAUAAAUCCCAACCUUCUACGUAUGGUAUUAAACAUUGUGGUACAAUUUCAGAGCAAUUGAAAUACUUAUACACAACUUAUUGUCCUGAAACUAGAUAAAUGCUUGUUUUGGCCCCCAUU